AAAGACCUCGUGCUUUAAGGGUGGCCGAUGUCUGAUUAGCUAGUUGGUAAGGUAAAGGCUUACCAAGGCGACGAUCAGUAGCUGGUCUGAGAGGACGAUCAGCCACACUGGGACUGAGACACGGCCCAGACUCCUACGGGAGGCAGCAGUGGGGAAUUUUGGACAAUGGGCGAAAGCCUGAUCCAGCCAUGCCGCGUGAGUGAAGAAGGCCUUCGGGUUGUAAAGCUCUUUCGGUCGGAAAGAAAUGUCUAUAAAUAAUACUUAUGGAAAAUGACGGUACCGACAUAAGAAGCACCGGCUAACUACGUGCCAGCAGCCGCGGUAAUACGUAGGGUGCAAGCGUUAAUCGGAAUUAUUGGGCGUAAAGGGUGCGCAGGCGGUAUUGUAAGUCAGAUGUGAAAGCCCCGGGCUUAACCUGGGAAUU
rnacentral:rRNA from 1 species